AUGAAGUGGCGCCAAGCUUCUGGCAUUCUCUGUGACAAGAGAGUGCCACAAAAGCUAAAAGGCAAGUUCUACAGGACGGCGGUUCGACCCGCAAUGUUGUAUGGCGCCGAGUGUUGGCCGACUAAAAGGCGACAUGUUCAACAGUUAGGUGUGGCGGAGAUGCGUAUGUUGAGAUGGAUGUGUGGCCACACGAGGAAGGAUCGAGUCCGGAAUGAUGAUAUACGAGAUAGAGUUGGGGUAGCACCAAUUGAGGAGAAGCUUGUCCAACAUCGUUUGAGAUGGUUUGGGCAUAUUCAGCGCAGGCCUCCAGAAGCUCCA
rnacentral:rRNA from 1 species